rnacentral:rRNA from 1 species
AUGGGCGCAAGCCUGAUGCAGCCAUGCCGCGUGUAUGAAGAAGGCCUUCGGGUUGUAAAGUACUUUCAGCAGUGAGGAAGGUAGUUGUGUUAAUAGCAUUAUUAUUUGACGUUAGCUGCAGAAGAAGCACCGGCUAACUCCGUGCCAGCAGCCGCGGUAAUACGGAGGGUGCGAGCGUUAAUCGGAAUUACUGGGCGUAAAGCGCAUGCAGGUGGAUGAUUAAGUCAGAUGUGAAAGCCCGGGGCUCAACCUCGGAAUAGCAUUUGAAACUGGUCAUCUAGAGUACUGUAGAGGGGGGUAGAAUUUCAGGUGUAGCGGUGAAAUGCGUAGAGAUCUGAAGGAAUACCGGUGGCGAAGGCGGCCCCCUGGACAGAUACUGACACUCAGAUGCGAAAGCGUGGGGAGCAAACAGGAUUAGAUACCCUGGUAGUCCACGCCGUAAACGAUGUCUACUUGGAGGUUGUGGCCUUGAGCCGUGGCUUUCGGAGCUAACGCGUUAAGUAGACCGCCUGGGGAG